rnacentral:misc_RNA from 1 species
GAUGAAGAACGUAGCGAAAUGCGAUAAGUAAUGUGAAUUGCAGAAUUCAGUGUAUCAUCGAAUCUUUGAACGCACAUUGCGCCCACUAGUAUUCUGGUGGGCAUGCCUGUUCGAGCGUCAUUUCAACCCUCAAGCCUUAGUUGCUUGGUGUUGGGAGCUUAUCUUGCCGAAAGGCGGACAACUCCUUAAAACUAUUGGCGGAGUCGCGGUGACCCCAAGCGUAGUAAAUCUUUUUUUUCUCGCUUUAGGUGUUAACGCUGGCUUUCUAGCCGUUAAACCCUCUAAAUUUUUAGUGGUUGACCUCGGAUCAGGUAGGACUACCCGCUGAACUUAAGCAUAUCAAUAAGCGGAGGA